rfam:Brassica napus, WGS project CCCW01000000 data, contig: 35551
UGAAGAUUGUUUUAUGAGAGUAUUAUAAGUCACUGCAUUUGGUAAUCAAGUGUUGCUUUCCCAAACGAAGUGACUUAUAAUGAUCUCAUGAAUCGAUUUUUGCA